CAAGGACAAGCCCGCCGCCAAGAAACCCCACACCUCCGGCGGCAUGCGCGGCAUCAACCUGAGCGUCAACUCCUGCAUCGGCUACCGGCACCAGGUGAGCUGCCGCCCCCCCCCCCCCCGCCGCGCGGCGGCGGCGGCCUCUUCGGCAUCAAGGGGUUCUUCUCCAAGAAGGUGCAUUGAGCAGCUAGCCAGCCAUGGAACCUUCACCUAGCUAGAAAUCAAAAUAACUUAUUUUUCUCUUUUUUUUUCACUCCCUUUUCUUUUGUACUUCUUUAACUUUUUUUUUAGACUUUGGGAUGCUUUGUGAUGAUGAUGAUGAUGCUAGUGGUGGCUGCUGUUAAUUACAUGUAAUUAAGCCAAUAACCUGUUUUUUGUAAGGGUGAAUUAUAUGUAUGUACCAAUAGUUUAAUUAAUUAAUUAGCACUACAUUAUAUGUUUGUAUUAAUUACUAGUGUGCAUAAUUAACUAUGGUUAUUCAGUUGAGCAUUGUCUGCACUCUGCAGCCGGCCGGCACAGACACAAGCAGAUGAUGAUGAGAUCCAGAGAAGAUGCUCUUGGUUGGUCUCUCUCUGCCUGCAAUGGAGAGAGAUUAUAUAUUCCUUUGCAUAAUAAUGCUGCAUGUGGAUAUGAUUGUGCCGGCACAAAUUGUUCAUGUUUCUGCAAUGAUGUUUGUUAAUGUAAAUUAUAAAUUGUUCGUUCUUGGAUUGAACAUGUUGCAGUAUCAUGGCCGGAUUGGGGAUCUGUGCACAUUUUGAGCCUCGUAUUUUCAAGCUAUUGCUUAUGCUAGU
rnacentral:lncRNA from 1 species